rnacentral:rRNA from 1 species
UACGUAGGGCGCAAGCGUUAAUCGGAAUUACUGGGCGUAAAGCGUGCGCAGGCGGUUGUGUAAGUUUGAUGUGAAAGCCCCGGGCUCAACCCGGGAAUGGCGAUGAAGACUGCAAAGCUUGAAUCUGGCAGAGGGGGGUAGAAUUCCACGUGUAGCAGUGAAAUGCGUAGAGAUGUGGAGGAACACCGAUGGCGAAGGCAGCCCCCUGGGUCAAGAUUGACGUUCAUGCACGAAAGCGUGGGGAGCAAACAGG